rnacentral:sRNA from 15 species
AGUUCUAUUUUGCUCUUUUAUAUUUUGAUUGAAUUGAAAGCGAGUCGCAGGGAGUUGAUAUACGACAGAUGGUUCCCAUGAAAUGUACAUGGAAUGAUGAUGCGAGAUAUAUAAUAUUUCAUGUACAGCAAAAGGAGUUCCAAAAUCCAGCUUCAAGACUAAUUAUUGAGACGGUCCGUAGAUAAAGCCAAUCAGAGAUAGAAAAACUAAUUAUCUAAGCAUCUAUUAUAAAAGAAACUCAGGAUAGCUCUGACAGAUGGUAUCUUUAAGCUGUUUUUGGGGGAUCAUCCCACCGAAAUUCAAAUUUAUUGCUUCAGUUUUAUCUGAAAUUUUUCAUCAUAAAUUCUCCAGUCUAUGACAGACAUCGCCAGCAGUUUUCAUUGUUUUAUUUUCGUUAGAAUAUGCUAUUUCCAAAAGAAUUAUUUCCAUCCAUCUGAACUGUGUAAAUAAUUGAAAUUCCGACAGGAAGGAUCCGAGUGCCGAUUCAAUAGUUGAUAAUCGAUGGGAGUUUGUAUUUUUAUGCAUCAAAAAAUGGCACUCGACUGCGAGCAGUUCAUUUGAUCUGUGAAGGAGUCAAGGAGUCAACCAAUGUGGCAAGCUGUCGGAAGCAAAAGCGAGUUUCCCCAACACGCCCCGAGUCAAUGUGUCAGAUCUCAUUCCCCGCCGCCUCGCCUUGCCUCUCCUUUUGACCCGUUUUGAUGGCGAUUGACACUGAUUGGACCUGCAAUGGCGACACUGGAUAAUGACGUUGUCGGAUGCCGUGCCAAAAAGUUAUCAAUGAAUCACUCUAAGUGCGCUAAUUUGCCCCCCGCCAUAAGCCCGGCCAUUAUUUGCAUAUUCCCCAUCUGUUGGCUUUUGUUUGUCGAUUUAAAUUGUUAAGAUCUUAAUGCUA